rnacentral:rRNA from 1 species
GACGAACGCUGGCGGCGUGCUUAACACAUGCAAGUCGAGCGGAAAGGCUCCCUUCGGGGGGUACUCGAGCGGCGAACGGGUGAGUAACACGUGAGUGAUCUGCCCUCCACUCUGGGAUAACUGCCUGAAAGGGUGGCUAAUACCGGAUAUCCACUGGGUCCUGCAUGGGGCGUGGUGGAAAGGGUUUCUGGUGGGGGAUGUGCUCGCGGCCUAUCAGCUUGUUGGUGGGGUAAUGGCCUACCAAGGCUUUGACGGGUAGCCGGCCUGAGAGGGUGACCGGCCACACUGGGACUGAGACACGGCCCAGACUCCUACGUGAGGCAGCAGUGGGGAAUAUUGCACAAUGGGCGAAAGCCUGAUGCAGCGACGCCGCGUGAGGGAUGACGGCCUUCGGGUUGUAAAGCACUUUUGUCCGGAAAGAAAACUUCGGGGCUAAUACCUCUGGAGGAUGACGGUACCGGAAGAAUAAGCACCGGCUAACUACGUGCCACCAGCCGCGGUAAUACGUAGGGUGCGAGCGUUAAUCGGAAUUACUGGGCGUAAAGCGCGCGUAGGUGGUUUGUUAAGUUGGAUGUGAAAUCCCCGGGCUCAACCUGGGAACUGCAUUCAAAACUGACAAGCUAGAGUAUGGUAGAGGGUGGUGGAAUUUCCUGUGUAGCGGUGAGAUGCGUAGAUAUCAGAGGAACACCGAUGGCGAAGGCAGGUCUCUGGGCUGUAACUGACGCUGAGGANCGAAAGCAUGGGGAGCGANCAGGAUUAGAUACCCUGGUAGUCCAUGCCGUAAACGUUGGGCACUAGUGUGGGGGNCNUUCCACGUUUUCCGNNCNGUAGCUAACGCAUUAAGUGCCCGCCUGGGGAGUANGG